rnacentral:rRNA from 1 species
AUUGAACGCUGGCGGCAUGCUUUACACAUGCAAGUCGAACGGCAGCACGAGUGCUUGCACUUGGUGGCGAGUGGCGAACGGGUGAGUAAUACAUCGGAACGUGUCCUAAAGUGGGGGAUAACGCAUCGAAAGAUGUGCUAAUACCGCAUAAUCUCUAAGGAGAAAAGUAGGGGAUCGAAAGACCUUAUGCUUUUGGAGCGGCCGAUGUCUGAUUAGCUAGUUGGUGGGGUAAUGGCCUACCAAGGCGACGAUCAGUAGCUGGUCUAAGAGGAUGGCCAGCCACACUGGGACUGAGACACGGCCCAGACUCCUACGGGAGGCAGCAGUGGGGAAUUUUGGACAAUGGGCGCAAGCCUGAUCCAGCAAUGCCGCGUGAGUGAAGAAGGCCUCGG